UCAAACUAAAGAGAGUCGGUGACGAAAAGGGACAUCUUCUUUUGGGGUUUUCUUGCUGGGGACGGAGCGCAAUCCGAUCCGAUCCCCUGCAGGCGACGGAAUACGGCGAAACCUAUCAGCAAUGGCCGGCGUCGCCAGCCUCCCACCGGACAUGCUGGCCAACAUCCACUGCCGCCUGCUCUUCCUCGACCGCCUGUCCUUCGCCGCGGUCUUCCCGGC
rnacentral:lncRNA from 1 species